rnacentral:rRNA from 1 species
CUACGGGAGGCAGCAGUGGGGAAUAUUGGACAAUGGGGGGAACCCUGAUCCAGCAAUGCCGCGUGUGUGAAGAAGGUCUUCGGAUUGUAAAGCACUUUCACUAGGGAAGAUGAUGACGGUACCUAGAGAAGAAGCCCCGGCUAACUUCGUGCCAGCAGCCGCGGUAAUACGAAGGGGGCUAGCGUUGCUCGGAAUGACUGGGCGUAAAGGGCGCGUAGGCUGUUUGUACAGUCAGAUGUGAAAUCCCCGGGCUUAACCUGGGAACUGCAUUUGAUACGUGCAGACUAGAGUCCGAGAGAGGGUUGUGGAAUUCCCAGUGUAGAGGUGAAAUUCGUAGAUAUUGGGAAGAACACCGGUUGCGAAGGCGGCAACCUGGCUCGGAACUGACGCUGAGGCGCGAAAGCGUGGGGAGCGAACAGGAUUAGAUACCCUGGUAGUCCACGCUGUAAACGAUGUGUGCUGGAUGUUGGGUGAUUUUAUCAUUCAGUGUCGGAGCUAACGCGUUAAGCACACCGCCUGGGGAGUACGGCCGCAAGGUUAAAACUCAAANGAAUUGACGGGGGGCCGCACAAGCGGUG